CAUCUUGGGGCGGGGCCGGCCGCCAUUUUGUGCGUGAAGGGCGUGGCCGCCGGACCUCUCCCUCCUCAUUGAGCCUCCCCUCAAGGGGGUAUUUAGAGUCGGUUUUGAGGGGUUUAGGCUCUUUUGUGGUGGCUUUGGGCUGCUAUUGCUGCCUCUUAGCCGAGCCCGCGCAGUCAUGGCCCAGUGCAGCCUCCCCGUCCCUGUCAAUGGUCACCCGCCCGACUCCAUCGGUGUGAGGGGAAUGGGCUCAGCCCGGCUCUGCUGCCGCACCCAGCAGUUCCCCAGGCUCUCUGGCACUCAUGGUUGAAAACCUCAGUGCACAGCCAGCAAAGCGAGGAGUGCAAAAUUCCAGGAGUGGUCUCCAAGUGUUGCCUCCAAGACUGGAAACUACCUGCUUAUAAAAUCAAAUAAAAUAAUUUUGCACAGGCACAAGAUAA